UUUUGAUCCAAUAAGCAACUACCUGACCUUUCAAUACUGUAUGUACAAUAUCACGUAAUGGGCUCCAGUUAUGUAGGGAGCAAGAGAGAAUCUGCUCUGAUCAUUCCUGAAAAUAAUACACUGUAAUUAACUUGAUUUAAAAAGUUUGGCAACAAGCACAGAUUGAGCAGAGACACACUGUCUGCAUCGCUGCUGCUCCAGUAACAGACCCUAAAAGCUUCACCAGUGAUCUGUUAUUCUUACAAGAGACAACAAAGCUCCCAACAGGCAAAGAACAACAGAAUUAAUGGAUUGGAAAGCGAGAGUCUACUGUAUGAGCUUUCAAAACUCUCCCUAGACAAGCAGACUGAUUGUGCAUAUCCACAGGUCACCAACGUUCUUAGCAAUCUUUUGAAAACUAUCAACUGCUUGGUGACACAGAGGAACUUGGUGCCUCUCAAGAAAAGCCACAAAAAUGAUUCAAGGACUAGAGAAAAUGUCUUCUGGGAAGAGCCUUGAAAAAUCUAAAUUUGUUUAGAUUAUCAAAAAAGAAGAUUGUGAGAGAAAAGCUUCCACCUGGAAACCUUGAAAGUGAAGUUCGAGGCACAAUUCCAUAGGUAACUUUCCCCGACAAACACGAGGACCAGAUGCUUCACUGGUGUGUACCUGCUGCCUACAAAUAAUACAUCACACGAUGCCAAAGGUCCAGUCAGUGCAGAUCCAGCCUAAGAAACACCCAGCCAUAAGGUUUGCUGGAGCCCAACUGCUCCAAAAUCAGAAAUCUUCUUGGGAAGAGGAAGACAUUCAAGCAGAAUACUGAGCUCAUUUUCAAAGGUUCCCUGAAGCUGACAGGCAGUGAGGAAAAUUGCUGUUUUGUGUUAAUCUGAGCUGGAGAUAAGCUCAAGUGAAUUCAAUAAAGGAAGAGAAAGUCUUGGGUUCCUCAGAGCUCCAUGCUUCAACUUAGCACAACGUCAAGUGAUAACACAUCACCACUGACCAAUGGAAAACAAGUUAGGAGCAUUGUAUCAUCAGGCAACACUCUCCAUUGUGUUACAUGGUUUCUGUAGCUUCUUCAAGCUUUAAGAGACAGCAAUAGGAAGAAAAUGUAUGACCUAAAUCUGCCAGGCACCUUCAAAGCAAAGGAAGAAACACAUGUGGGAAAGUAUUAGCAAGCCACCCAGCUCCCUUUAAUUAUUAUGAGAAUGCCAAC